rnacentral:tRNA from 1 species
UCUGGGUUCGUCUAGCGGUCUAGGACACUGUCCUUACAAGUCAGAAACACGGGUUCGAAUCCCGUACUCAGAACC